AACGAACGCUGGCGGCAGGCUUAACACAUGCAAGUCGAACGCCCCGCAAGGGGAGUGGCAGACGGGUGAGUAACGCGUGGGAAUCUACCUAGUUCUACGGAACAACACAGGGAAACUUGUGCUAAUACCGUAUACGCCCUACGGGGAAAGAUUUAUCGGAAUUAGAUGAGCCCGCGUAAGAUUAGCUAGUUGGUGGGGUA
rnacentral:rRNA from 1 species